rnacentral:rRNA from 1 species
CAUGCAAGUCGAGCGGAAAGGCCCUUCGGGGUACUCGAGCGGCGAACGGGUGAGUAACACGUGAGCAACCUGCCCCAGGCUUUGGGAUAACCCCGGGAAACCGGGGCUAAUACCGAAUAUGACCUUGCACCGCAUGGUGUUUGGUGGAAAGUUUUUCGGCUUGGGAUGGGCUCGCGGCCUAUCAGCUUGUUGGUGGGGUGAUGGCCUACCAAGGCGACGACGGGUAGCCGGCCUGAGAGGGCGACCGGCCACACUGGGACUGAGACACGGCCCAGACUCCUACGGGAGGCAGCAGUGGGGAAUAUUGCACAAUGGGCGGAAGCCUGAUGCAGCGACGCCGCGUGAGGGAUGACGGCCUUCGGGUUGUAAACCUCUUUCAGCAGGGACGAAGCGUAAGUGACGGUACCUGCAGAAGAAGCGCCGGCCAACUACGUGCCAGCAGCCGCGGUAAGACGUAGGGCGCGAGCGUUGUCCGGAUUUAUUGGGCGUAAAGAGCUCGUAGGCGGCUUGUCGCGUCGACCGUGAAAACCUGGGGCUCAACCCCAGGCCUGCGGUCGAUACGGGCAGGCUAGAGUUCGGUAGGGGAGACUGGAAUUCCUGGUGUAGCGGUGAAAUGCGCAGAUAUCAGGAGGAACACCGGUGGCGAAGGCGGGUCUCUGGGCCGAUACUGACGCUGAGGAGCGAAAGCGUGGGGAGCGAACAGGAUUAGAUACCCUGGUAGUCCACGCUGUAAACGUUGGGCGCUAGGUGUGGGGGGCCUCUCCGGUUCCCUG